rnacentral:rRNA from 1 species
UGCGUAGGCGGCCGCUUAAGUAGGGUGUGAAAUGUCCCGGCUCAACCGGGGAAUGGCGCUCUAAACUGGGUGGCUCGAGUGAGAUAGAGGUGUGCGGAACUUCCGGUGGAGCGGUGAAAUGUGUUGAUAUCGGAGGGAACAACGUUGGCGAAAGCGGCACACUGGGUCUUAACUGACGCUGAGGCACGAAAGCCAGGGGAGCAAACG